rnacentral:tRNA from 1 species
GGCGUAGGACACGGAUACUUCGACUUGUAAUCGAGAGGUCGCCGGUUCGAAUCCGGCCUUUUGCCG